rnacentral:rRNA from 1 species
GGUAGUCCACGCCCUAAACGUUGUGAACUAGGUGUUGGUCGGAUUGACCCGAUCAGUGCCGCAGCUAACGCAUUAAGUUCACCGCCUGGGGACUACGGCCGCAAGGUUAAAACUCAAAGGAAUAGGCGGGGGCCCGCACAAGCAGCGGAGCGUGUGGUUUAAUUCGAGGCAACGCGAAGAACCUUACCUGGGUUUGACAUGCAUAGGAAAUUUUGGUGAAAGCCAGAACCUCCCGCAAGGGACUUAUGCGCAGGUGGUGCAUGGCUGUCGUCAGCUCGUGCCGUGAGGUGUUGGGUUAAG